UCUAAGGCAGCGCCUCCUUCUCCCCAAGGUGGUCAGGACAAGAUCUUCCUGUCUGCCCGGCCCAGCGCUGUGGUGCCUCAGGGAGGAAACGUGACUCUUCGGUGUUACUAUCGUGGUGGACUUUACAACUUUACCAACUUCACUCUGUACAAAGACGACAGAAGCCACGUUCCCAUCUUCCACAGCAGAAUAUUCCAGGAGAGCUUUCUCAUGGGCCCUGUGACCCCGGCACACGCAGGGACCUACAGAUGUCGGGGUUCAUACCCGCACUCCCCCACUGAGUGGUCGGCACUCAGUGCACCCCUGGCGAUCAUGGUCACAGGAGUCCACAAAAAACCGUCCCUCCUGGCCCUCCCACGUCCCCUGGUGAAAUCAGGAGAGACGGUCAUCCUACAGUGUUCGUCAGAUAUCGUGUUUGGGCACUUCUUUCUGCACAGUGAGGAGAUCUUUGAGGAGCCCUUGCACCUUGUUGGAGAGCUCCAUGGUGGGGGUUCCCAGGCCAACUAUUCCAUCAAUUCCACGAUGUCUACCCUUCCAGGGACCUACAGAUGCUACGGUUCUGUCACUCACUCCCCCUAUGUGUUGUCAGCUCCCAGUGACCCCCUGGACAUCGUGAUCACAGGUAAAUAUGAGAAACCUUCUCUCUCAGCCCAGCCGGGCCCCACGGUUCAGGCAGGAGAGAACGUGACCUUGUCCUGCAGCUCCCAGACCUCGUUUGACAAGUACCAUCUAUCCAGGGAGGGGGAGGCAUAUAAACUUAGUCUCUCUGCAAUGCCAAGCAUCAAUGGAACAUUCCAGGCCGACUUCCCUCUAGGCCCUGCCACCCACGGAGGAACCUACAGAUGCUUCGGUUCUUUCCGUAUCGCACCCUAUGAGUGGUCACACCCGAGUGACCCACUGCCCGUUUCUGUCACAGGAAACCCUUCACGUGGUUGGCCUUCACCCACUGAACCAAACUCCAAAACCGGUAACCCCAGACACCUGCAUGUUCUGAUUGGGACCUCAGUGGUCAUGAUCCUCUUCACCAUCUUCUUCUUUCUCCUGCAUCGCUGGUGCUCCAACAAAAAGAAUGCUGCUGCAAUGGACCAAGAGCCUGCAGGGGAGAGAACCGUGAACAGCGAGGACUCUGAUGAACCAGACCCUCAGGAGGUGACAUACGCACAGUUGGAUCACUGCGUUUCCACACAGGGAAAAAUCACUCGCCCUUCUCAGAGGCCCAAGACACCCCCAACAGAUACCAGCGUGUAUACGGAACUUGCAAAUGCUGAGCCCAGAUCGCAAGUUGUCUUCUAUCCAUGAGCACCACCGUCAGGCCUUGAAGGGGUCUUCUAGGGAGACAACAGCCCUGUCUCAGAACCGGCUUGCCAGCUCCAAUGUACCAGCAGCUGGAAUCUGAGGGUGUGAGUCUGCAUCUUAGGGCAUCGCUCUUCCUCACACCACGAAUCUGAACAUGCCUCUCUCUUGCUU